rnacentral:rRNA from 1 species
AACGAACGCUGGCGGCAGGCCUAACACAUGCAAGUCGAGCGAGGACUUCGGUCCUAGCGGCGGACGGGUGAGUAACGCGUGGGAACGUGCCCUUUGGUACGGAAUAGCCCCGGGAAACUGGGAGUAAUACCGUAUGUGCCCUUCGGGGGAAAGAUUUAUCGCCAAAGGAUUAGCCCGCGUUGGAUUAGAUAGUUGGUGGGGUAAUGGCCUACCAAGUCUACGAUCCAUAGCUGGUUUGAGAGGAUGAUCAGCAACACUGGGACUGAGACACGGCCCAGACUCCUACGGGAGGCAGCAGUGGGGAAUCUUAGACAAUGGGCGCAAGCCUGAUCUAGCCAUGCCGCGUGGACGAUGAAGGCCUUAGGGUUGUAAAGUCCUUUCAGAUGGGAAGAUAAUGACGGUACCAUCAGAGAAGCCCGGCUAACUCCGUGCCAGCAGCCGCGGU